CGCGAAUAGCUCAUUACAACAGCUAACAAAUCUACUUGAUCUUGACACAAUCCUACUUGGAUAACUGUGGUAAUUCUAGAGCUAAUACAUGCAUUAAAGCUCUGACCUUCGGGGAAGAGUGCAUUUAUUAGAACAAAACCAAGCGGCUUCGGCUGUUUUCGGUUGACUCAUAGUAACUGAGCUGAUCGCAUGGUCUUGCACCGGCGACGUGCCUUUCGAGUAUCUGCCGCAUCAACUUUCGAUGGUAGUGUAUCUGACUACCAUGGUGAUCACGCGUAACGGAGAAUAAGGGUUCGACUCCGGAGAGUUCGCCUGAGAAAUCGCGAACACAUCCAAGGAAGGCAGCAGGCGCGAAAAUUACCCACUCUCAGCACGAGGAGGUAGUGACGAAAAAUAACGAGACCGUUCUCUUAUGAGGCCGGUCAUCGGAAUGGGUACAAUUUAAACCCUUUAACGAGUAUCUAUGAGAGGGCAAGUCUGGUGCCAGCAGCCGCGGUAAUUCCAGCU
rnacentral:rRNA from 1 species